AACGUAGGUGGCAAGCGUUGUCCGGAAUUACUGGGUGUAAAGGGAGCGCAGGCGGAAUGGCAAGUAGAAUGUGAAAUCCAGGGGCUCAACCCCUGAACUGCGUUCAAAACUGCUGUUCUUGAGUGAUGUAGAGGUAGGCGGAAUUCCCGGUGUGGCGGUGGAAUGCGUAGAUAUCGGGAGGAACACCAGUGGCGAAGGCGGCCUACUGGGCAUUUACUGACGCUGAGGCUCGAAAGUAUGGGGAGCAACAGG
rnacentral:rRNA from 1 species